ACUUUCCGCGGCUUUGACGAGCCCGCAGCGGCCGGGCCCGAGCGCAGAGCCGGGCCGAGACUGCACCAUGCAGGAAGCGCCAGCUGCGCUGCCCACGGAGCCAGGCCCCAGCCCCGUGCCUGCCUUCCUCGGCAAGCUAUGGGCGCUGGUGGGGGACCCAGGCACAGACCACCUGAUCCGCUGGAGCCCGAGCGGGACCAGUUUCCUCGUAAGCGACCAGAGCCGUUUCGCCAAGGAAGUGCUGCCCCAGUAUUUCAAGCAUAGCAACAUGGCGAGCUUCGUGCGCCAACUCAACAUGUACGGUUUUCGGAAGGUGGUGAGCAUCGAGCAGGGCGGCCUGCUUAGGCCGGAGCGCGACCACGUCGAGUUCCAGCACCCGAGCUUCGUGCGCGGCCGCGAGCAGCUACUGGAGCGCGUGCGGCGCAAGGUGCCCGCGCUGCGCGGCGACGACGGCCGCUGGCGCCCGGAGGACCUGGGUCGACUACUGGGCGAGGUGCAGGCUUUGCGGGGAGUGCAGGAGAGCACCGAGGCGCGGCUGCGGGAGCUCAGGCAGUGCGGGGGCGGGCGGGGAAAGAGGGGACAGGGGUGGGGGGUUCGGGAUGAGACCAUAACUGGCCGGCCAGCAGUUCUGGGCAG
rnacentral:sRNA from 1 species